AGGGCACUUUGAUAGCUCAUUCAUAAGGUUGUUUACUGCUAGCAUGCUUAGUGGGGAGAAACCUACCCAAACAUUGCCCCCUACUACGAAAAGUGCUACUGCAAAGCCAUGUAUGAAAACAACAGAUGGGGUGGGACAAUUCAAGGAUUUUGUUGAGAUUGGAAGAUAUUGAGAGAAAAUUGAAGGAAGAUUGGGAUCAUGUGUAAAGGUGGAACUGUCUCUCAAAUAAAGAGCAGUGUUUCGAAGGAACUGCUAGAAACUGUUACAAGAUGCUUUGUUGAUGUUCAAGCUCUACAAAAUCAUGACAUCCCAAGGUUUCCGGUGAAGGCAUUUCAUGGAUGGUAUCUGUAGUUGAAGACUUUCGAAUUGCACAUAUAAAGCUAAAGGUGCUAUUGGAAUCUUUUUACCGCUUGUAAUUCUCACAAAAUCCUCUCUUCAAAGUAAGUGUUGGUUAUAGAAUUUAAUUAAUUUUUGCAAAGAGUUUGGGCUGUAAUCUACAAUCAGGAAAGCGUACUGUUAGACUUAUUGGAGUCUUACAUAAAUUUGUAGGCUCAGUUUAAAUUUUUGACUUUUCAAAUAAUAAUUGUUAUGACAAUGAGAAUCUUAAGUUUUGCUUUCUGAGACAUUAAAGGUUUCCUCCAAUGUCAAGCUUACUCUUUUGAGUCCUUUGGAUGCUAAGUGUGAAAAGAAUGCAUAUGAGGUAAAAUAUGAAUUAUGCAACAUUAUCUUUUUGUUGGAUUUAUUUAAUUCAUCACUAUGGUUACUUACUUGACAAUUGUCAGGGUGUGUUGCAACAAAUCCCAAGAAAUUAGUGAGAGUAUUGGAUUCUCUUUUUCCGAAUCUAGAUAUGAUUCACUUCCUUGUGAGGAUGUUAAUGCAAAACACCUAAUUUGUUGACGGAUUUGGGAAAUUUUGACUGGAAAAUUACAAGUGACACCAGGAAACUUGUCUAUCACACUUUAAUCAAAUUGCUCGAGGUAUUUUCUUGGGAACCAAUACUAUGCCAUGAUAAUGUAGAUGUGGGAUGGUCUAGACUAUCAGAUAUGGAUGUUAACGAGGGAAAGCUUCUUGGAUGUUCAUACAAUCAAAGUUGUGUUGGCAUAUGGGUUGUGGACCUCUCUUGCAUUGAACCAUAUGCAAUUGCUAGUCCUAGAUUAAAUGGUCAUUCAGGCCAAAGUCUACAUCAGAUGGUAAUCCAUCUAUGCCAGCUGAUAACAUAAAGUCUAGUAUGAGGAGGUUAUCAAUAUUAUAGAGUUUUGAAACAAAUUCUAAAGAGACAAAAUCAUUAUCAGCAACAGUCAUUGCUCCAGCCAGGUGCCCCUCAAAUAAUUGGGGCAUGUGCUAGCACGAUAGCACCUCUGACAGCACCACCAUCUGUAUCUUCCUUUGUAAAAAGAAGUUUAUCAAAAUUUCAGUCUACAUCUGACCUUCAGACUAGCAAAGCAGAUAUGGCACCUGCGAUUGUUCCAAGAACUAGCCCGAGGAUACACUUGCCCUCUGAUUUUACUAAAGACUUUGGGGUUGGUAAAACAAUGUCAUUUGAUAUCCAAUCAAAAUUUACUGAAUUUUGGAAGGUGUCAAACAUCAAAGAGAAUUUAGAUAAAACAGAUAUCCAUUCAGUCUGGGAGCAGUAGUAAUAUUGAACAAAAUGAAUUUCUGGGCCAGACUCCUAUUUCUUCUGGCAAUGCUGGAACUCAACAUGUGUCAGCUGAAGCAAAUAAUUUGGAUGGUGUUAAGAACUUGAUUAAAUAAAGGAUCAGGUCUAUCUAAUUCAUUCAAAGAGCCACAUUUGCACUUUGAUAAGGAAAAUUGGCACAAUUUCUGUUGUCGGCUUUUUGGUGUUUUAAAAAUAGUUGUUGGAACAUUGGUAGAACACAGUUUCUUAUUCCUUGGUGUUGGAGAGGUUUUACUCCUAAUCUCAAUUGGUUUAUUUGGUCUAUUGAAUGUGUUUAACACUUUAACUUUGAUUUUUUUUCACUUGUGUAUUUCUUGUGAACAUCUUAGUUUCCCAUUCUGGGAGUAUGAAUUCCUAUGUACUUAUGCUUCGUCCUUGUAUUUCAUAUUACAAAUCUUGUAAUGCAUAUAAUUAUAUGAGAAAUAGAUAUAGGAAGAUCAUGUCUAUUAGGAUUUUAUUUAUGAGGUGGGCUUCUGCUUUUUUAAAAAGAGGGUAGAAGAUAAUUUUUCCGAUUUGGAUCGAAAUCUACUGUUUGCCAUAAUUUCGCUAUGCUACUUAGUGCUAAGUGUACAUGUUACAUUUUAUGUGACUUUAAUUAUUGCACUAUGUAGGUACAUGUUUCAAGAGUAUUUUAACUAAUCUCAGUUAAAAUAUUUGUUCUGUUUAUACGAAUACUUCUUUAAAUCUUUUCCUUAUCUUGAUUAUCAAUACAGGCUGGUACCAUAGCUCUAGAGAUGUUAAAGCAGGUUUUGAACUUAGUCUUUUUAUUAUGUGCAUGAACAACGUUUUGGAUGUGAUGAUGAUAAUUUUAGAUAUUGGCAAAUUUUGGUUGUGGAUUUCUUAUGGUUGUUGUAGACAAAUGGUGCUCCAUUGGAAGAGACUCGCAAGAAGUUAUGAAUGGUCGAUUCUAAGGUAAGGAAGAGAAUCUUGGACCUUGGUUAUACUUAUUACAAGCAUACAACUUUUAAAUGUUUUACUUUGUUGUUCAUUGUUUGCAUUGUGAUACCCUUUCUGGGGCUUAAUUAUGAGCUCACACAAGGAUUCCCUUCAACAUUUUAAGCAACCUUGGGCACAUGAUCAUGAACCUGUCAAUAAUCUUGUAGAUGUUAUCAAGGUAUUGCUGCCUCAAGUGCCAUUCUGGUUUCUUGGCAGGUGGUUUCAUGGGCUAAAUGUUUACUAUGCACUUGUAUAUUUUCUCUCUUACUAUGUGUGACUCUUAAGCUAUAUCAUUGUUGAUGAUAAGAAUGCUUUCUCCAACUCAGGUUUACUCUUUUAAAGUGGUUUCUCUAGUGGUCAUGUUUUCAUUUAGUUCUUCUACAAGUAUAUAUUACAACACUAAUACUUUAUAUAUAUUACAACACUAAUACUUUAUGCAACUAUUUCUACUAAGGAAGUAGUUGAAGCGAUGGCUAAUUUUAAUGAGGUUAGCUUCUACACCUAGACCUCUACCAAAUCCUUACCAUAAUGCAUUUUUACAAUUUAACUAUAUUCAGAUAGUAUUAGAUCCAAUGCACGAGUUCCCUUGCAUUGAUUUUGGCUCAAUCCAAUCCUACCUCUCAAUCAGAAUGUAGUGUAGAAGAGUUGCACUAGUUUUCUCUAUCUUUUUGCAGCAAUAGUUGCAUAAUUCAUAUUCACAAUUUACUUUGGUAGUUAAGAAUUUGGCUUUCAUUCACAUGGUCAAGCAAUAUUUGCUAGUGGGAGUCCAUUUGAUCCAAUUGAAUAUGAUGGAAAAGUUCUUGUGCCAGGACAGGUUUAAAAUUUUUAUUUGUUACAAACUAACCUUUGGUGUUUCACUUUCUUCUGGUCAAAUAAUGCAUACAUCUUCUCGAGAUUUGGUCUUGGGCUGGUGAUCUUCGGACCAACCCGUGUGCACAAUGAUGACAUGCUUACGUUCAGCCUGAAAGUUCACAAGUGGAAUCACCAUUACUAUAUUUCUAUUUUUGUAUAUCAAUAUUUCAAACUUGUUCCAUAUACCAUAAACCCAUCGGGAACAUGUUUAAUCAACUUUGAAAUUUACUUUUCCAUAUAUUCCACAAAACUAUGGAAAGUAGAAUAAUUGUGGUAUCUUUUGUUGGACAACAAAAGCUUUAACUCCUAAUGACGUAGGACAACUUGGACAAAGGAAUGGUCUACCCACCAUUCCCCAACAUUAGGAAGAUAUUUGCUCAUAUUGUUGCGAAUGUUGCAGCAAAAGCAUAUGAACUUAGAUUGGUGAGUCGGUACCCACAUCCCAAGGACUUCAUGAAGUACGCGGAGAGCUUCAUGUACAACUUUAUUUAUCACCCGUAUAGAUGAUUGGACAAGAGGGCU